CUUGACUGUAGCCUGGAAUUGGGUUCGGGCUCUUCUUGCGCAGCCUAGGUGGGAGGCGUUGAAGGUUUUCUCUCGGGAAAACUGGAGCCAACAGUGAGAGACCACUCUGGAGGAGCUAGAAUUCUAAUGGCGUUCCUUGAAGCAGGACGCUUGACAGUUUCAGGUGGGCAGUUUGACUGGGGCGGUCACCUCCUAAAAGGUAACGGAGGUGUGCAAAGGUUCCCUCAGGCUGGACGGAAAUCAGCCGUAGAGUGUAAAGGCAGAAGGGAGCUUGACUGCAAGACCUACAAGUCGAGCAGGGGCGAAAGCCGGCCUUAGUGAUCCGACGGUUCCGUGUGGAAGGGCCGUCGCUCAACGGAUAAAAGUUA
rnacentral:rRNA from 1 species